AUUCUUAUAGUUGAAUGAACAACGAUAGUUUUUCAAGUUAUUGGUCCUGGUUAGAGUCCAGGUGAGGAUA
rnacentral:tRNA from 1 species